AGAAAAACUAUAAAUCAAUAGUAUUAAUAUAAAAUUUUAUCCCAAAAACUCAGCAUUAAAUGCAUAAACAAAAAAACAAACAAACCCUAAACCAUAUAAUCCUAAGCAUUAUUCUAAACCAAACAUUAAACCCAACAUAAACUAAAUGCUAAACCUUUUCUACUGCCAAAAACCCUAAAUCCUACCUAACCCUAAACCCUACAUAAACCUAGACCUUAACCCUAUCUAACCCUAAACCCUACAUAAACCUAACCCUAAACCCUUCAUACUACCUAAACCCUAAACCUACCUAACUCUAAACGUAAACCCUACCUAACCCUAAACCCUAUUUAACCCUAAACCCUUCCUAACCCUAAAACCCUACCUAAAACCUAACCCUACCUAACCCUAACCCUAAACCCCACCUACCUUAAACCCUACCUAAACCCUACUAACCCUAAACCCCACCUACCUUAAACCCUACCUAACCCUAAACCCUACUAACCCUAAACCCUACCUAACCCUAACCCUACAUAACCCUAAACCCUACUAACCCUACCUAACCUAAACCCUACUUAACCUAAACCCUUUCUAACCCUAAACCCUACCUAACCCUAAACCCUACUGACCCUAAACCUUACUAACCCUAAACCCUACCUAACCCUAAACCCUACCGAACCCUAAACCCUACCUAAUUCUAAACCCUACCUAACCCUAAACCCAACCUAACCCUAAACCCUACCUACCCUAAACCCUUUCUAACCCUAAACCCUACCUAACUUUAAACCUCUUCUAAUCCUAAACCUGACCUAACCCUAAAACUUGCCUAACCCUAAAUCCUACCUAACCCUAAACCCUUUCUAGCCUUAAAUCCUAUUAACCCUACUAACCCUAAACCCUUUCUAACCCUAAACAAUGCUAACCCUAGACCCUUUCGAACCCUAAACCCUACCUAACCCUAAACCCUACCUAACUCUAAACCCUUUUUAACCCUAAACCCCUUCUAACCCUAAACCUGACCUAACCCUAAACUCUGCCUAACCCUAAAUCCUACCUAACCCUAAACCCUUUCUAGCCUUAAAUCCUACUAACCUUAAACCCUACUAACCCUAAACCAUGCUAACCCUAAACCCUACCUAAUUCUAAACCCUACUAACCCUUAACCCUACCUUACCCUAAAACCUUUCUAACCCUAAACCCUUUCUAACCCUAAACCCUACCUAACCCUAAACCCUACCUAACCCUAAACCCUAAUAACCCUAAACCCUACCUAACCCUAAACCCCACCUACCCUAAACCCUUUUUAUCCCUAAACCCUGCUAACCCUAAACCCUAUCUAAACCUAACCCUAAAACUCUACCUAAACCUAACCAUAAAUACCGCUAAAACUCUACCAACCCU
rnacentral:lncRNA from 1 species